rnacentral:rRNA from 1 species
AUUGAACGCUGGCGGCAGGCCUAACACAUGCAAGUCGAGCGGAUAAAGGGAGCUUGCUCCUGGAUUCAGCGGCGGACGGGUUAGUAAUGCCUAGGAAUCUGCCUGGUAGUGGGGGAUAACGUCCGGAAACGGGCGCUAAUACCGCAUACGUCCUGAGGGAGAAAGUGGGGGAUCUUCGGACCUCACGCUAUCAGAUGAGCCUAGGUCGGAUUAGCUAGUUGGUGGGGUAAAGGCCUACCAAGGCGACGAUCCGUAACUGGUCUGAGAGGAUGAUCAGUCACACUGGAACUGAGACACGGUCCAGACUCCUACGGGAGGCAGCAGUGGGGAAUAUUGGACAAUGGGCGAAAGCCUGAUCCAGCCAUGCCGCGUGUGUGAAGAAGGUCUUCGGAUUGUAAAGCACUUUAAGUUGGGAGGAAGGGCAGUAAGUUAAUACCUUGCUGUUUUGACGUUACCAACAGAAUAAGCACCGGCUAACUUCGUG